rnacentral:rRNA from 1 species
AUUGAACGCUGGCGGCAGGCCUAACCCAUGCACGUCGAACGAGUGGCGGACGGGUGAGUAAUGUCUGGGAAACUGCCCGAUGGAGGGGGAUAACUACUGGAAACGGUAGCUAAUACCGCAUACCAUCGGAUGUGCCCAGAUGGGAUUAGCUAGUAGGUGGGGUAACGGAGCACCUAUUCGACGAUCCCUCGCUGGUCUGAGAGGAUGACCAGCCAGACUGGAACUGAGACACGGUCCAGACUCCUACGGGAGGCAGCAGUGGGGAAUAUUGCACAAUGGGCGAAAGCCUGAUGCAGUCAUGCCGCGUGUAUGAAGAAGGCCUUCGGGUUGUAAAGUACUUUCAGCGGGGAGGCGUUACCCGCAGAAGAAGCCGCGGCUAACUCCGUGCCAGCAGCCGCGGUAAUAC